GGUUAAGCGACUAAGCGUACACGGUGGAUGCCCUGGCAGUCAGAGGCGAUGAAGGRCGUGCUAAUCUGCGAUAAGCGCCGGUAAGGUGAUAUGAACCGUUAUAACCGGCGAUUUCCGAAUGGGGAAACCCAGUGUGACUCGUCACACUAUCAUUAACUGAAUCCAUAGGUUAAUGAGGCGAACCGGGGGAACUGAAACAUCUAAGUACCCCGAGGAAAAGAAAUCAACCGAGAUUCCCCCAGUAGCGGCGAGCGAACGGGGAGGAGCCCAGAGCCUGAAUCAGCAUGUGUGUUAGUGGAAGCGUCUGGAAAGGCGCGCGAUACAGGGUGACAGCCCCGUACACAAAAGCGCACAUGCUGUGAGCUCGAUGAGUAGGGCGGGACACGUGGUAUCCUGUCUGAAUAUGGGGGGACCAUCCUCCAAGGCUAAAUACUCCUGACUGACCGAUAGUGAACCAGUACCGUGAGGGAAAGGCGAAAAGAACCCCGGCGAGGGGAGUGAAAAAGAACCUGAAACCGUGUACGUACAAGCAGUGGGAGCCCCACCACUAAGCCAGUGGUGAAAUCCACAUACGCAUCCUUUGCUGAGGAUACGGUUAACGGAGCGCAAGCGACGUUCAACCKCAAAAGAAGCAGAGGGGGCUUAGUGGUGGGGUGACUGCGUACCUUUUGUAUAAUGGGUCAGCGACUUAUAUUCUGUAGCAAGGUUAACCGAAUAGGGGAGCCGGAGGGAAACCGAGUCUUAACCGGGCGUUAAGUUGCAGGGUAUAGACCCGAAACCCGGUGAUCUAGCCAUGGGCAGGUUGAAGGUUGGGUAACACUAACUGGAGGACCGAACCGACUAAUGUUGAAAAAUUA
rnacentral:rRNA from 1 species